rnacentral:rRNA from 1 species
AUUGAACGCUGGCGGCAGGCUUACCACAUGCAAGUCGAGAGGGGUGAUGGUGCUUGCACUAACACUUAGCGGCGGACGGGUGAGUAAUGCUUAGGAAUCUGCCUACUUGUGGGGGACAACAUCGCGACAGGGAUGCUAAUACCGCUUACGUCCUACGGGAGCACGCAGGGGAUCCCUUGUGACCUUACGCUAAUAAAUGAGCCUAAGUCGGAUUAGCUAGUUGUUGGGGUAAAGGCCUACUAAGGCGACGAGCUGUAGCGGUUCUGAAAGGAUGAUCGGCCACACUGGGCUGAGACACGGCCCAGACUCCUACGGGAGGCAGCAGUGGGGAAUAUUGGACGAUGGGGGGAACCCUGAUCCAGCCAUGCCGCGUGUGUGAAGAAGGCCUUAUGGUUGUAAAGCACUUUAAGCGAGGAGGAGGCUCUUUUGGUUAAUACCCAAGAUGAGUGGACGUUACUCGCAGAAUAAGCACCGGCUAACUCUGUGCCAGCCGCCGCCGUAA